AUUCCAGCUCCAAUAGCGUAUAUUAAAGUUGUUGCAGUUAAAAGGCUCGUAGUUGAGUGUUGGUGGUGGGCGUCUGGUCUGGCCUCGCGUCAGUACUGGGCGAUCCGGCACUUUAUCCUUGUGGGCGGCGUGCACUUGAUUGUGUGUGUCGCAUUGCGAGAAGGAUUACCUUGAGAAAAAUAGAGUGUUUAAAGCAGGCUAAUGCUUGAAUACCGCAGCAUGGAAUAAUAGAAUAGGACAUUGGUUCUUAUUUUGUUGGUUUUCAGGACCAGGGUCAUGAUGAAUAGGGACAGUUGGGAGCAUUAGUAUUCAGUAGUCAGAGGUGAAAUUCUUGGAUUUACUGAAGACUGACUAAUGCGAAAGCAUUUGCCAAGGAUGUUUUCAUCA
rnacentral:rRNA from 1 species